UUUACUUUAAUAUCCAUUUAUAUUUUGAUUAUUGUGUGCAUACUUUGGGGAUAAUUGGUUAAUUAAUAACUCCAUCAGACCACGCCAUCACGUGGUCACGUGAUGCCUUUUGGUAGAGACGUGAGUUUUUUCAUGGUCUGUUGGUGCGUGCAAGCAGUAAUUGGAAGACAAAGAAGUGAAAUACAGAAGAAAUGGACUUCUAGCAACUCCUAACAUUCUGGUUGGAGGGGCAAACGUGUUCACGUUGGUCUUGGGCGUUUACAAGACAGAAAAUACUGUAAUAAAACGUUUACAACCAUCA